AGUGAACGCUGGCGGUAGGCCUAACACAUGCAAGUCGAACGGCAGCACAGUAAGAGCUUGCUCUUACGGGUGGCGAGUGGCGGACGGGUGAGGAAUACAUCGGAAUCUACUUUUUCGUGGGGGAUAACGUAGGGAAACUUACGCUAAUACCGCAUACGACCUACGGGUGAAAGCAGGGGAUCUUCGGACCUGGCGCGAUUGAAUGAGCCGCUGUCGGAUUAGCUAGUUGGCGGGGUAAAGGCCCACCAAGGCGACGAUCCGUAGCUGGUCUGUGAGGAUGAUCGGCCACAUUGGAGCUUGAACACGGUCCUUGGUCCUGCGAGAGGCCGCAGUGUGGAAUAUUAGGCAGUAGGCGCAAGCCUUGUACAGCCAGACCACGUGGGUGAAGAAGACCUUCGGGUUGUAAUGACCUUUUUUUGGUUAAGAAAAGCAGCAGGUUGAGACCACGCGGUACUGACGGUAACCAGUGAAUAAGCACCGGCUAACUACGUG
rnacentral:rRNA from 1 species